rnacentral:lncRNA from 1 species
CGGGCCGGCUGGCGAGCGGAGCCCUGGGAGUCUCUCUUUAGAAGGGAGGUGAGGGGCCCGGGGACGCCCACGAGGACAGCCGCUCCCGAGAAAGGUGGAAUGGCGCUGCCGCACGCGGGCCGCCUCCUCCUUCCUCUCUCCCCUCCACGCACAAAAAGAAUGGGCCUUGAAAGGGAGAUCUCAGAUUGUGUGAAGGUCACUGUCUCCAUACCGGGAAAGGGUGGAAAACAGACCAUGGGCUCUGGCUGCACUUUCAGGAAUCGACGCUAGGUGGUACACUGCUUCUCCUGAGAGCUCCAAAGCCUCAUAACCUACAGAAACUAAGCCUACUUAAUGUUGGAACCCGAGACGUAAUAACCCAGGCCCAUAUCUCUUCUUCUUCCAUAUAAAAAUGCUUUUACCUUCGCCAAAAUCACGAAUAAUUUCAUAUCCAAAUGUUGCACUGUCUUAGAACGGCAUUCGGGAAAUAUCUGCUAAGUAAAUAAGACAUAAUUAAAAACAGAAAUGGCAGAAGCGUGAAAAAUUGAACUGCUUCCUAUCAUCUUCUCAUCUUUUUACACAAAGUUAAACUGGUUCCAAAACAGGAGAAGGUCAGCAUUUUCCAACUGUACUUGAUGCUCCCUUUUCUUAAAUAAGGCAUCUUUAAAUGAAUGACAUCUUAUGAAGUAUGAUUUGGGAAAUCCUCUCCUCAACACCUGUCCAUCUUAUUUAACGUAAUCACCCCGGAGUUAACUCAGCUGAGUUUUCAAUCUUCUUCACUGCAUUAUGCACUUCGGAGGCGCCAUUUUCUUCAGAUUCCCCCGGGAUAUCAAGUCCCAAAUUGACACUCGCUAUUAUGUGGCCAGUCAGGCGCUGAAAUCUGUCAACAAUUGCUCUGCACCUAGAGCACUUCUUUAAGUGUUGUUAGUCUUAUCGCAGGUGCUAAGGGGAUUCGUUUCCUGUUCACACUUGAUUCCAGUUUGAACUGAACCCAAUUCCAAGGUAAGAACAUGCACAUUCUCCAGCCCGCAGUGCUCAUGAGAUAACUGAAUCUCAUCUCCCUGGAAUGUCUGUUAAAUAGAGCUGAAGGAGUUAAUUCGCUACUCAUCGAAGCAAACUUUGAAAAUGUCUUUACUAUCAAAAGAAAGGAAAAAAUCC